rnacentral:rRNA from 1 species
GACAGAGGGUGCAAACGUUGUUCGGAAUUACUGGGCGUAAAGCGCACGUAGGCGGAUCUUUAAGUCAGGGGUGAAAUCCUGGAGCUCAACUCCAGAACUGCCUUUGAUACUGGGGAUCUCGAGUCCGGAAGAGGUGAGUGGAACUCCGAGUGUAGAGGUGAAAUUCGUAGAUAUUCGGAAGAACACCAGUGGCGAAGGCGGCUCACUGGUCCGGUACUGACGCUGAGGUGCGAAAGCGUGGGGAGCAAACAGG